CUCCCACACUCCUCUACAGUCUGACAAAAGAAACAGGAAGCCGUUUUCUUGAGCAGUUUAAAGGCCAAUAAGGUGGCUGUGCGCAGGGGGACCCCCGGGGCAGGACCCAUGAGGAGGUAUAGAAGAUGCUCACAGCCUGGGCGCCUCUGCUCUUCUUAGCAAUGUGGGUGAGAAGCACCUCCAGCGGGCCGCUCUCCUUCAGACUAGGAACUGUUGGAGAAGACGAGGCCAUCAUCUCAGCUCUUUGAAUUCUCAAAAUCAGAUCAUCACAGCAGGAAAAAGGGAUUUCAGGAGCCGUUACAGUACAGGCAUGAAUAAUACAUUCUGAAACCAGG
rnacentral:lncRNA from 1 species